rnacentral:rRNA from 1 species
UGGGGAAUAUUGCACAAUGGGGGAAACCCUGAUGCAGCAACGCCGCGUGAGUGAUGACGGUCUUCGGAUUGUAAAACUCUGUCUUCAGGGACGAUAAUGACGGUACCUGAGGAGGAAGCCACGGCUAACUACGUGCCAGCAGCCGCGGUAAUACGUAGGUGGCAAGCGUUGUCCGGAUUUACUGGGCGUAAAGGGAGCGUAGGUGGAUAUUUAAGUGGGAUGUGAAAUACUCGGGCUUAACCUGAGUGCUGCAUUCCAAACUGGAUAUCUAGAGUGCAGGAGAGGAAAGUAGAAUUCCUAGUGUAGCGGUGAAAUGCGUAGAGAUUAGGAAGAAUACCAGUGGCGAAGGCGACUUUCUGGACUGUAACUGACACUGAGGCUCGAAAGCGUGGGGAGCAAACAGG